rnacentral:rRNA from 1 species
UAGUCCUAGCCGUAAACGGUGCACAUUUGCCGUGAGAGGAAUCGACCCCGUUCGUGGCGUAGCCAACGCGAUAAAUGUGCCGCCUGGGAAGUACGGUCGCAAGAUUAAAACUCAAAGAAAUUGACGGGGGCCUGCACAAGCGGUGGAGUAUGUGGCUUAAUUCGAUGCAACGCGAAGAACCUUACCUGGCCUUGACAUGCACGUAGUAGGAGGAUGAAAGUCUAACGAAUCCGCAAGGAUAGCGUGCAC